ACAAGGCUGUAAUGGGAAGUGCUGUCAAUGCUGGAGGAGUUUUGUUUGCAUUUUAUAGCUUAACUCAGCUGGCAGAGUAAAUAGGUGAAAUUCCCUCUAGUGUUGCAGAGCAAUGCAUAGAGGGCUGUGUUGGUGAGAAAGUUAUAUUGAUAUAAUUAGGAUGCUUCAGGUUGUGAUUGUUGAAUAAAAUGUAAAACAAAGUGAGAUUGUAUUAAGUGAAGCUUCUAAUACGUGUCGUUCUCUAUGUCACAGUCCAUAAAUAAGCAGCUACUCAGACUGAUUUGAGAUUCUUUGCAUCCUGUUCACUAUUCUCUCAAACAGAUGGUAAGUAGAUUGUAUGCUGCCUCUGUAAUGUGUGCAUGACGAACAACGGCAGUGAACUUGAUAAUGGCUGUCAUUUGUCUUCUUCUGUUUUGCUUAUUUUAGAUAAUCCUGUGCCAUCAUCUUCUUUGCUAAGUACACGUCUUCCAAUUAGUCAAGUUUGCUUGUUAACAUGUUUCGGCGCCGUCCGUCUGCGUGCCACAUGCAGAUUCUGUGAUUAAUCUAGAAAGACAAUAUUUUGAAAUGUUAUUGAAUAUAAAUAAGCAUGUGAUGUAUUGUUUUUUAUUGCUUGAUGGUGUCUGACAGCUUUGUCACAGAAAAUGCAUGGCUUCUUUUUUCCUAAAUCCAUCAUAAGAAAUAUAAAGACAUAUGCAUAAUAAUGAAACACAUUUAUUAAUGUGUACUGUCCCCUGGAGUCACAUGACAAUGAAAUUGAUGGCUGCUUUUUCUUUUGCAUGGAAGCUGUAGGUCCGUGUGUGACAUGUGGAGGCAGCUGAACAGGUAAAGAGCGUCGACGUGGAUGAGCUCAGCGUUCAGAGAGGCCUGACGAAGGUCUCACAGCGGUUCACUGGCUUCAUCUGUGGAGGAGGAGCCUCUCACUCAGAUCUCAAAACUGCCCUUGUGCAGGGAGACGAUUUCUCAUCAGGCUCCAGCAGCCGGAGCACCAAGCUCAUUCACGGAGGAGUCCGAUAUCUACAGAAAGCCAUCAUGAAAUUGGAUUACAAACAGGACAACACAACGAUGCUCGAAUGAACCUCGCCAUCGCCCUCACUGCUGCCAGGUAUGGGGCUGCCAUAGCCAAUUACACUGAAGUGGUGCACCUACUGAAGAGGGCAGACCCUCAGACGAGGAAGGAGAGGG